rnacentral:rRNA from 1 species
CCCUGGUUGAUCCUGCCAGUAGUUAUAUGCUUGUCUCAAAGACUAAGCCAUGCAUGUCUCAGUGCAAGCCGUAUUAAGGCGAUACCGCGAAUGGCUCAAUAUAUCAGUUUUGGUUCCUUAGAUCUUACUCAGUUACUUGGAUAACUGUGGCAAUUCUAGAGCUAAUACAUGCAAUCAGAGCUCCGACCAGUGAUGGGAAGAGUGCUUUUAUUAGAUCAAAACCAAUCGACGGAGGCGGCCUCGGUCGCCGAAGUCGUUUCUUUUGAUGAGUCUGGAUAACUUUUGCCGAUCGCACGGUCCAGUACCGGCGACGCAUCUUUCAAAUGUCUGCCUUAUCAACUUUCGAUGGUAGUUUCUGCGACUACCAUGGUUGUCACGGGUAACGGGGAAUCAGGGUUCGAUUCCGGAGAGGGAGCCUGAGAAACGGCUACCACAUCCAAGGAAGGCAGCAGGCGCGCAAAUUACCCACUCCCGGCACGGGGAGGUAGUGACGAAAAAUAACGAUACGGGACUCUUUCGAGGCCUCGUAAUCGGAAUGAGAACACUUUAAAUAUUUUAACGAGUAUCAAUUGGAGGGCAAGUCUGGUGCCAGCAGCCGCGGUAAUUCCAGCUCCAAUAGCGUAUACUAAAAUUGUUGCGGUUAAAAAGCUCGUAGUUGCAUUUGUGCGCCGCGCUGUCGGUUCACCGCGUCAGCGGUGAGACUGACACGUUUGCGGAGCAUAUCGUCGGUGAGCUUUCGGUAAAACGGAAGUUCAAUAUCAAAAAUCCUAUCGCGGUGCUCUUCGUUGAGUGUCGAGGUGGGCCGACAAUUUUACUUUGAACAAAUUAGAGUGCUUAAAGCGGGCUCAAAAUGCUGCUUGAAUAUUGAGUGCAUGGAAUAAUGGAAUACGACCUCGGUUCUAUUUUGUUGGUUUUCAGAACUCCGAGGUAAUGAUUAAUAGGGAUAACUGGGGGCAUUCGUAUUGCGACGUUAGAGGUGAAAUUCUUGGAUCGUCGCAAGACGAACAUCAGCGAAGGCAUUUGCCAAAGGUGUUUUCAUCAAUCAAGAACGAAAGUCAGAGGUUCGAAGGCGAUUAGAUACCGCCCUAGUUCUGACCAUAAAUAUGUCGAUUAGCGAUCCGCCGAUGUUACUACAAUGGCUCGGCGGGCGGCUUCCGGGAAACCAAAAUUUUUGGACUCCGGGGGGAGUAUGGUUGCAAAGCUGAAACUUAAAGGAAUUGACGGAAGGGCACCACCAGGAGUGGAGCCUGCGGCUUAAUUUGACUCAACACGGGAAAUCUCACCAGGCCCGGACACCGGAAGGAUUGACAGAUUAACAGCUCUUUCUUGAUUCGGUGGGUGGUGGUGCAUGGCCGUUCUUAGUUGGUGGAGCGAUUUGUCUGGUUAAUUCCGGUAACGAACGAGACUCUAGCCUGCUAAAUAGGCGUCGUCAUUUCGGUGCGCGCGACUCGUUCGCGCAACUCACUGGCGGCGUAAUUAAAUUCUUCUUAGAGGGACCGGCGGUUUCGAGCCGCACGAGAUUGAGCAAUAACAGGUCUGUGAUGCCCUUAGAUGUCCUGGGCCGCACGCGCGCUACACUGAAGGAAUCAGCAUGUUCUCCCUGGCCUAGAGGCCCGGGCAACCCGCUGAAACUCCUUCGUGCUGGGGAUUGGGGUUUGCAAUUAUCCCCCAUAAACGAGGAAUUCCUAGUAAGCGCGAGUCAUAAGCUCGCGUUGAUUACGUCCCUGCCCUUUGUACACACCGCCCGUCGCUACUACCGAUUGAAUGAUUUAGUGAGGUCUUCGGACCGACACGCGGUGGCUUCGCGGCCGUCGGCGUUGCUGGGAAGUUGACCAAACUUGAUCAUUUAGAGGAAGUAAAAGUCGUAACAAGGUUUCCGUAGGGGAACCUGCGGAAG